GGAAGUAAAAGACGUAACAAGGUCUCCGUAGGUGAACCUGCGGAGGGAUCAUUACAGAGUUCUCGCCCUCACGGGUAGAUCUCCCACCCACUGUUAUCGUUACUGUCGUUUCUUUGGCGGGCCGCCGGGUCCCCGGCCGCCGGCGCCUAGCUGCCGGCGCGCGCCCGCCAGAGGCCUUCAAACUCUGAAUGUUAGUGUCGUCUGAGUACUAUAUAAUAGUUAAAACUUUCAACAACGGAUCUCUUGGUUCUG
rnacentral:misc_RNA from 1 species